UUGGCUCUGCGCAUCGCUGGUUCCUGCAGUUUUGCAGGCGAAGAGGGAAUGCGACGCCCCGGGCCACCCGGGACAAAACGCAGCCGCCCCCGCGACCGUGACCGGAGAGGAUGCCCACUGCCACUGACAUCGCGUCGGGAAGGCCGGGCAGCCGCCAGGGGUAUCGCCCCUGACAUCCGCAAGCCGGGAGACCUGCCAGCACCGGCCCCGCCGU
rnacentral:ncRNA from 2 species